UACGUAGGGGGCUAGCGUUGUCCGGAAUCAUUGGGCGUAAAGCGCGUGUAGGCGGCCCGGUAAGUCCGCUGUGAAAGUCGGGGGCUCAACCCUCGGAUGCCGGUGGAUACUGUCGGGCUGGAGUGCGGAAGAGGCGAGUGGAAUUCCUGGUGUAGCGGUGAAAUGCGCAGAUAUCAGGAGGAACACCAAUUGCGAAGGCAGCUCGCUGGGACGUUACUGACGCUGAGACGCGAAAGCGUGGGGAGCGAACAGG
rnacentral:rRNA from 1 species